rnacentral:tRNA from 1 species
ACAUUUUUAGCUCAGAUGGAUAGAGCACUAGCCUUCUAAGCUAUUGGUCAUAGGUUCAAAUCCUAUAAAAUGUA